GCCAAAUUCAUUUCAGGAACCACAACAUCCUGUAUUGAACCAUACAAUUGCCGAAAUUUGACUCCAUUCCGUGCUUCUUGUUUGUAGUCCAUCUCCUGCAUUCAAUUUGACCACCCGAAAAAGACUUGAGGCCCACUCAUCAACAACUGCCUGAAGGUCGGUAUUAAGUUUUCCUGCCUUCUUUAUUAAGCCUGCGAGAUA
rnacentral:misc_RNA from 1 species